AGAGUGGAGCCAUAUGCGAAGUACCUGAUUAAAUUUGAUAUAUUAAAUUCUCUCACCUAAUGAAGACCCCAAGAACCAACCAAAAGGAGAUUCUUUUUCAGGCCCUCACUUUCUCUGUCUUCAUUACGGCUGUCUCUCUCUGCAGCAGCUGCUCUCCUUUGCACUGCUCUGUUUUUCACUCUUGCUCGUUUGACAUCUAUAAGAAGGGCCUCUUUCCCCAUUAGUGCUCUCCUCUAUCAAAAUUAUGCAUAUCGGACAGGGAGACACAAAAGUUGUGAUAGCAGACUACUAAUUUUUCUCAACAAUCUACAAAGAGGUGGGAAGGCAAACAAAUGUACGCAGAGACUGGGAUGAUGUUCCCUUACUGUCAGAGCUACCCUCAAGAAAUUCAGCAGCUUCCAGACUUCUAUUUUGCUCAGAAACCCAAUGUUUUAGCGGGUAACCUGAUUCAGUCAUCCUCGAUCUCUGAGUAUGACCUUGGGGCAGAAGGCGAUCUAUUUAAGGCUCCAGAACCCAUAAUUGAAGAGCCAAUUAUGGGCCUUGAUCCAAUGGCAGCUGCAAUUUCAAUGAUCUCUUGUGGUGGAGAUGUUAUUGCUUCUCAAGACCUCAAGGUGUCGGAUAUUGAAUCAUCAAUAGAUAAUGGACAACUUCUCAGUGAGGUUUUUUACGAGUGCAAGAAGGACAUUUUAGCAAAAGAAGCUACAGAAGCAACAUUCUCUGAAGUUCUGGAUGUCAAAGUUCCUGAAGAAAAGUUGAUUGCAGGUGGAGAUUUUCUUUCUCAAGGAUCAUUCCAGAAAAGUGUUAGUUCAGGGUGUCUAAGCUCAAUGCAAUGGAUUCAUGGUGCUCCAAUGAGGCCUAAUUUCCUUGAUUUUCCUGGAUUGGACCUGGGGGCUGUCUAUGGUAUGCGAAGAGCAUACAGUGAAGGAGACAUAAAGGUCAAGUUUAAUUACUCUUUUCCAUACUGUCUUCCUUCCAGUAUUGAUCAUAUCAAAAUUUCCCCGAUAUUCAAUCCAGUUGGAGUGAGUGAGGAUGUCUAGGAUGUUCUUCUUGGCAAAGAAGACUCUUGGUAAUGGCAGCAUAAACCUAUUCCAUUCUCCAGCGGGACAACAACCACCAAUCAUUACCAGUUGCACAUCUGAAGAUCGCCAGGAAAAGCUCUCUAGAUACAGGAAUAAGAAGACAAAGAGGAACUUUGGGAGAAAAAUAAAGUACGCUUGCAGGAAAGCUUUGGCAGACAGUCAGCCAAGGAUCCGUGGAAGAUUUGCAAAAACGGAAGAAACAGAUUCUUCCAAGAAGCAAUAGCUGUUAAUACAUGACAAACUAAGAAAAAAGUGUAGAAAGGUAGCAGUUUAGUAGUUAGAGACCUGAUGAAGCUAUGAGGAGAUUCGUUGUAAUAUUUUAGUAGCUGGUGUUAGAUAAUGUAUGGGGAAGCAGGAACGGUUGGAUCCUAAAAUGUUUGUAAACUGAGGUGAUCUCUUCCAAAGGUGAAAUAUCCUAUUGAAGCUGUAUAUAGUUUGUUGAAUAAAAAAUCAGUAAAGUUAUUUAUGUAUCAA